rnacentral:rRNA from 1 species
GUCCACGCCGUAAACGAUGGAUACUAGCUGUUCGGAGCAAUCUGAGUGGCUAAGCGAAAGUGAUAAGUAUCCCACCUGGGGAGUACGAACGCAAGUUUGAAACUCAAAAGGAAUUGACGGGGGGCCCCGCACAAGCGGUGGAGCAUGUGGUUUAAUUCGAUGAUACGCGAGGAACCUUACCAAGGCUUAAAUGUAGAUUGACCGGUUUGGAAACAGACUUUUCGCAAGACAAUUUACAAGGUGCUGCAUGGUUGUCGU